rnacentral:rRNA from 1 species
UACGAAGGGGGCUAGCGUUGUUCGGAAUCACUGGGCGUAAAGCGCGCGUAGGCGGACUCUUAAGUCGGUGGUGAAAUCCUGGAGCUCAACUCCAGAACUGCCUUCGAUACUGAGAGUCUCGAGUCCGAGAGAGGUGAGUGGAACUGCGAGUGUAGAGGUGAAAUUCGUAGAUAUUCGCAAGAACACCAGUGGCGAAGGCGGCUCACUGGCUCGGUACUGACGCUGAGGUGCGAAAGCGUGGGGAGCAAACAGG